GUGAACGCUGGCGGUAGGCCUAACCCAUGCAAGUCGAACGGCAGCACAGUAAGAGCUUGCUCUUACGGGUGGCGAGUGGCGGACGGGUGAGGAAUACAUCGGAAUCUACUUUUUCGUGGGGGAUAACGUAGGGAAACUUACGCUAAUACCGCAUACGACCUACGGGUGAAAGCAGGGGAUCUUCGGACCUUGCGCGAUUGAAUGAGCCGAUGUCGGAUUAGCUAGUUGGCGGGGUAAAGGCCCACCAAGGCGACGAUCCGUAGCUGGUCUGAGAGGAUGAACAGCCACACUGGAACUGAGACACGGUCCAGACUCCUACGGGAGGCAGCAGUGGGGAAUAUUGGACAAUGGGCGCAAGCCUGAUCCAGCCAUACCGCGUGGGUGAAGAAGGCCUUCGGGUUGUAAAGCCCUUUUGUUGGGAAAGAAAAGCAGCAGGUUAAUACCCCGCUGUUCUGACGGUACCCAAAGAAUAAGCACCGGCUAACUUCGUG
rnacentral:rRNA from 1 species